rnacentral:lncRNA from 1 species
GAACACAGAGCUCAGAGAAAUCUGUACCAAGAUCUGUAGGACUUGUGUUAGCAAGUUGUGAUCAUGCAUUCCACUAAGGAAAUGAACAAGAAUGGCCUUGACCAUUCACUACAUUUCAGCAAGCACCUAGAGAUGCUUUGCAGAAGUCAACAAUUUUGGCCAUCGCAAGGAAUGUUGCCAGCCUCCCAGACAAACAUGGCCAUUCUGUCAUAUCCAAAGAAGGGAGAUUUCAGGUUUUAUAUCAGUUUCACACUGAUUGCAAGGUAUGGGAAGGCCUAGGGUCACGACACAGACAAGGGGCUGACAACAGGAGAUGAUGAAGGACAGGGCUGCAGGUAAGUCCGUAAAUAAGCCUGAGGUCCACCCAGGAGGCAAAGACAAGAGCAUGUAGCUCUGUUGUGAGGUAAAAUGGAGACCCUGAGCCCAAGGGAAGAGGGUUUAUGAGUUGGGGAUUCCAGAUGUGGCUACUUGGGGGAAUUAAGGCCCAUUGGUACCAUCCAGAAUCUGACACAGAAACAUCCGUCAAGUCCAAUCCUCCUGGGUUAUGGGCAACGCUCUUUCCUUGGUAUAUUAGUUGACCUCUGUCUCUCACAUAGUGUGCCUGAGCAUGUCUGCAGUGCAAACCUCAGUGACGGCUACACUGCAGAUAGAGUGCUGUCCAACUCCUUCAUUGCUCUGGAAGAUGCAAAAGCAUGGGGUGGAUGUUCUGUGCACUGAGCCCCAUUAGCUGGUUCAUGGAUGAAAGCUUCUGGAAGUCCACUGCUUGCCUCCAUCUGUCAUUUAUCUGCAUUCCUCCCACGGAGCCAGCAGAGUUUAUUUUUUUUAACCUACUGUUGGAUAAUAAGACAGAUGUCCACACUGGGUCUCGUUUUGAAUAGAUCUAAACUAAAAACAAAUGUAUUUAGAGGGGAUGAAUAAAUGUGUGUGUUUUUCCUGUUCCAGAAUGUCUGACUAAUGCAAGAAAGAAUGGCUGGAUCCCAUUUUAUUUUUUGAGGGAGCUACCUUAGAGAUGGGAAAGUGAAGUACCCAUUGAAGUACCAACUGAAGUAAAGGGAUAUUCAGAGUAAGAAGUGACUUUUGUGAUGUUUCCAUAGGGCAAAGUAAAAUGUGAGACGAUAUUGAUGAAAAUGUGCAAAAUGCAAGAGAAGUGGUGUUUUCCUGCUGCCUCCCAGCUAGGUCUUCUGGGAUGGGCUGAAGUCACCCAGCACAGAGGUGAAGUGUUUGGAUGGGGAACAGGGCACCACUUUGAUGGAAGCUGAGUUACUUACGGAGGAAGGACAUGUUGUCAGAUUCCUUUCAAAGCCCAAGGUAGCAUUGCUAAGGUGGAGAUCAACUCUUGAACAGAGAUCAGAACCACCUAGGAUCAGGGAAAAACAAAAAGAAGAAAACAAGCAGGGGUGACGUGAAGUAGCAGAGGAAGGCUCAGAUCAAAGGAGAAGGGCAGCCCCAGAGCCACCACACUGCCUCUGAAGACAAAGAGCUGUCUGGUUCUGGUGGGGUUUCCCCCGCCGGUCCCAACGCACGCCCUCGCAUGUGGGGUCUGUUUGGACAGCUGGGUGUCACUGACCCCAGGUGCUCAGAGUGCUCAGUGGGCUCAGCAGUGCCGGCAGCUCAACGGGGGGGCUGCCCAAAGUGUGUGUGUGUGUGGUCAGGGCACCACGCUCCCUCCCAGAGCAAGGGAUUACAGACAGCAUAGCUGAGAAAGUCAGAAUGCUUCAGAAGGAAGCAGGAGAAUUCAGCAGUGCAACUGCCUAACGUUAAUCAAUAGGGUCUACUUUACCUUCUUUUAAAGCAGUCAUUAGUGAUGCAUUUGCAUUUAUCUCAUGCCCUUGAAGUCUUAGAUAUCUCUGAUGUCUUCCUGUCCACAUGGAUCUUUCUACAGCUGAAAAGGGCAAUCAGAUCAGCCCAGCCCAGGCUUGCAAAAGGAGGAGAAGCAAGUCAUCUGUCACCUCUCAAAUAUAGGAGUGGGAGCCAGCAUCCUAGGACAGACAUCUGUCAGGGAGGGGGAUGGCUGGGAAACACAGGGACCUGAGGACUGGGUGCUCAUCUUCAUCGGUGGGAUGCAAGCAAGUCCCAUCCCAGCUCUCUCUCCUAGUUUCCAGCUGCCAGAACCUUUUGUUGUAUGCUUUCAUAUGGCAAAAAUGGAUCCCUCUCCCUAGAAAAUCAGACAAAAAAAGGUUCAGAGUUGGGAGGAGGAAAGCAAGACUUGAGAUGGUAAAGUACAAAAUUCACUGGGUAGGAAUUUCAGCAGAAGCAAAUUCUCCUCUUUACAGACAAAAAGCAAAGGAAGUGCAGAUGAAGGACCUCUGAGACCUCAGGACCUCUGAGAAUUUGUCAGGGAAAGUCCUCCUUGAUGCUGCACCACAGCUGCCUCUUUCCCCUCUAGGACAAACUCAUAGGCAUUGCAACGUGGAGGGUCUUUGCCUAACGAAAGUGCUGUGAGAGCUGCUGCUGACACCAGGAUUGGCAGAAUGAUAGCUCACUGCAAGUGACAGGCAUGUCACGUUGCUUAACCAAACUGUCGAAGUGUCACUGUGUUUAAGUCUCUUCCUUAUCCUAGCUGUGUUUUGGCAUUUAGUCCAUUCUACCCCAAAAUCUGGUUCAGAACCAGAAAACAAUGUGUAUCAGUUCUUACCCUCCAGAUCUACCCUCCUUCUAAAGUAGAUGAAACUUCUCCAUUUGGGAAUCCUCACCUAUCUGCUUCUUCCCCAUGCUGGAGACCUUUGGCUUCACCCAUUUCUUCCUGCAGAUGACUGCAGCCUCUUCCUGUUGGGGUUUAACAAUGCUUCUGCUGUCUCUGGUUAAGAUUUCCAAAGCUGUCUAAUGGUCCUGAUGUCUGAGGGAGUCCUGUUCAGACAUUAGCUGUCAUGGAAGCUUAACACUGAGAGGGACCAUCAGUGAGUGGUCUCUCGCUCAGCCCUGCUCAGAGCAGCUUUAGUUUCAAAGUUUGACCAGAUCUCUCAGUGCCUCCUCUGCUCUAAUUCCGAAAGUCUCCAGGGAAAUUCAGUAUUUAAGCCACUGUCCAGAGCAUCAGUUGAGUCCAGGCAUCUCCUAUUCUCCAGCAGCUGUGAAAAUCCCCGUCCUAAUCUCCACUUUGGAACUGUCAGAUCCAAAUCUCAAUGGCAUUCACUGACUACCACUUGCUUUAUUAGCAGAAACUGAUGCAGCAAGCAUGCCAUGCUGGAUGACUCCAAACAUCAUUUCAACAUUUGGAAGACAUUGCUGCCCUCUGGCACUCCUGAGUGUGAGAAACAGCUGAACUCCUGAGGCCACAAUGUCACCCUAAGUGAGGUCCUUCUGAAACUCCUCUCCCUGUUUUAAUUUCCCUUAGCACAUUACUCGCCCUAAGAGCUUUGCUUCACUUGUUAGGUUUGGCAUCUCUUUUGUACUAUUUUUGGAGGAUUCCAGAACACGUUUCUGAUUUUGGCCAUCUUCAUCUUCUUAUAAUUACUAAUAAUAUUUUUCCUUCCACUCACUGGAUUCAUUCCCAUGUUGGCUGCAAGGCUUCAACACCAAUGACUGUUUAAUUCAAC